AGACUAUAUUUUUUUUUUCGAGUCUUUCUUGAUUAGAAAAAUGCUAGGUGUCUUCAAUAUGAGCAAGUAAGAAACACUUCCCCCGUCAGGGAAAAGUAAUAAAUAGUUUGUAUAUGAUUUUAAGGAAGAUCUGACUAAAGAUUUUUCCUAUGUUGUAAUAUAUUUAUGAAAUAAAAAGUUUGCUUCUAUAUCCUUUGUCAAUCUCAUAUGUUGGUGAUAAAUGAAGGUUGUGAUCUUCUGUCUUAGCGGAGGAAAAAUAAAACAAUAGCCUCAUGUUAGGCUAAAUAGUUUUUCAUAGCCGGAAGAAGAUACACUACGGUGUUGAUACAGCCAGCAUAAAAGAAAGUCAAAAGGUCUCAAGAGUCACGACGACGAAAAUGAAAAUAGUGAUCCAAG